AGUACAGAUUGAGAAGAACUGUGAUCUAAGGUCAUUGGUUUGGUUAAGGUGUGAUUGACAGGUUGAGACCGGAAGUGUGAGCAUGUGUUUUUGGGGAAAACUUGACAGGGAAAAAAAGCGGGACGACGACAAGAAAAAAGCACAGCGGACACGCAUGGCCGCGAGUGUGAAAGUCUACAGAGAUAACAGUUAAGUGUAGUUUUCAGUGUCCAAGAGAUUGUCUGCUCGACUCUCGGAACCCGGAUAUAGAAGCUACUGCUGUUUAGUGUACAGCUUGAGAAGUUUCAGCUCGGAACUUCUAUCGAAGCUGCACUGUUGUUAGCUUAGCCCAGCUACUGAGCUAACUCGUAGUGUGUUGUUAGCAUUCGCUAUCAAAGCGAACGGACUUAGCCGUGAGGAGCUAAACCAGCUUCUGCUAUCGGCUGUGCCUGUGGUCUCAGCGCGGGAGCACGAGGGUUCGGAUCGGCCGCUGCCAGUGCGUGUGACGCGUCAUCGUUGGAGGCUGCCUGUGCGUGUGACGCGUCAUCGUUGGAGGCUGCCAGUGCGUGUGACGCGUCAUCGUUGGAGGCUGCUUGUGCGUGUGACGCGUCAUCGUUGGAGGCUGCCUGUGCGUGUGACGCGUCAUCGUUGGAGGCUGCCAGUGCGUGUGACGCGUCAUCGUUGGAGGCUGCCAGUGCGUGUGACGCGUCAUCGGUGGGGGCUGCCAGUGCGUGUGACGCGUCAUCGGUGGAGGCUGCCAGUGCGUGUGACGCGUCAACGUUGGAGGCUGCCUGUGCGUGUGACGCGUCAUCGGUGGAGGCUGCCAGUGCGUGUGACGCGUCAUCGGUGGAGGCUGCCUGUGCGUGUGACGCGUCAUCGUUGGAGGCUGCCAGUGUGUGUGUGACGCGUCAUCGGUGGAGGCUGCCUGUGCGUGUGACGCGUCAUCGUUGGAGGCUGCCAGUGUGUGUGUGACGCGUCAUCGUUGGAGGCUGCCUGUGCGUGUGACGCGUCAUCGUUGGAAGCUGCCUGUGCGUGUGACGCGUCAUCGUUGGAAGCUGCCUGUGCGUGUGACGCGUCAUCGUUGGAGGCUGCCAGUGUGUGUGUGACGCGUCAUCGUUGGAGGCUGCCUGAGCGUGUGACGCGUCAUCGUUGGAAGCUGCCUGUGCGUGUGACGCGUCAUCGUUGGAGGCUGCCUGUGCGUGUGACGCGUCAUCGUUGGAGGCUGCCAGUGUGUGUGUGACGCGUCAUCGUUGGAGGCUGCCUGAGCGUGUGACGCGUCAUCGUUGGAAGCUGCCUGAGCGUGUGACGCGUCAUCGUUGGAGGCUGCCUGUGCGUGUGACGCGUCAUCGUUGGAGGCUGCCUGUGCGUGUGACUCGUCGUCGGUGGGCGUCGUGCCGGGCUGCCAGGGACGCUCCAUCACCUGCACAGCGGCCUGUCUUCAAUCCACCUGCAGUGUCGCCUUCAGGACUCGGACCAGGGUUGUGACCUUGACGUGCUGCAGGAACCAGACAACAAUCAUCAGUGUGUCCUCCCAGAGCCGACGUACACGACCAGGCUGUUUGUUUUAAUGAUCUGUUCUGGUAAGCAUUGAUGAGUGACAGGGACGAGCCACUAGGAGGAGAGUGUGAGGCAAGUAGAGAAAACUAUACAACGAUGUAUUUUAUGCUUGAUGCUGUAGAUUUAUCUGAAGAAUAAGUGAGAUGUGGAUGAUUUAAAGGAGGGAGAGGAGGGGGAAGACAGGAUUUAACUCAGGAUAAAGCUCUGUGUGUGUGUGUGUGUGUGUGUGUGUGUGUGUGUGUGUGUGUGUGUGUGUGUGUGUGUGUUGUGUGGGUAGGUGUGUGGCAGUAAAUCAAUAAAGAAGAUCUCCCACCACAGACACAGCCCAGGUGGUUUCUGGGAAAAAAUAAUGGAGUAAAUUAUAACUUAAAUAUUACCUCUGAGAACAAAGGGAGAGGCGGUCAACACAGUUUUGCAUUGUGGGUAGACACUUAUAGCAGCGGUGCACAAUAAUACCAAUAGAAUAAAAUAUAAUAAUAAUCAUAAAUUAGGUAAUAUUAAGGUUAACCCCAGCCCUGACUAACCCUAACCCUGACUAACCCCAGCCCUGACUAACCCUAGCCCUCCUGCUGCAGACACAUCCAGUCUUUUAUGACUUCCUCAUUUCAGUGUCCUGGAGUCAGCUGUGUUUCAUCCUGGUCUGGGAGUGUUUAGUGUCCAGUGGUCAGAGGCCAAGUCACAGCUUAAUCAGCACAAACAGGAGUCCUGUGUGUGUGUGUGUGUGUGUGUGUGUGUGUGUGUGUGUGUGUGUGUGUGUGUGUGUGUGUGUGUGUGUGUGUGUGUGUGUGUGUGUGUGUGUGUGUGUGUGUGUGUGUGUGUGUGUGUGUGUGUGUGUGUUCACUGCUAAGGUCAGGCUCUAAUCAGUUAAAAUUGAGAGUCGGGCGCAUAAAAGUCCUUUAGGAGGCUGCAUGGUGUGUGUGUGUGUGUGUGUGUGUGUGUGUGUGUACCUGUAUGCACCCCAGGUACACCCCUACCCCCACCCCACCACACACACACUCCCUCCUCUCCUUCUUUCCUUCCCUCGGUCAUUGUCUCCUUCUCUCUCCACUUGUUCAUCCUCUGUCUUUCACCUUGUUCUUUCCCUUUUCAAUCAAUUAUUCUUUCUCUUUCUUUUCCCCCCUUUACCUCCUUUCUCCUUUGUCUUUCUCUUUUCCUUUUAAUUCACUUUCCUCAUCCUUUCUUCCUCCUUAUCCUUUAUCUCCUUUUUAUCUCUCCCUCUUUGUCUCACCUGUCUUCUGUUCUUUGCCCUCUCCAUUCCUCUCUCUCCUGUUUUACUUCCUCUCUGUUGUUUCGUUCCGUUUUUCUCCCCCCAUCUUUCCUCUGCUUAAAUAAUCAUCCAGCUGAAGACAGUUCAUGUUGCACAGCAAAGGAAUAUUUUCUCUGGGGAAAUGAAUCUUUUCUCCUUUCUCUUCCUUCCUAUGAAUCUCCAUUUAUCAUGUGUUUUAAAUUCACCUCUGUCAUUACAUCGUGUUUUUAUUAUUUUAGAUGCCAAAUUCCAACUCUGCAAUUCUCAAUAAAGACAGUGUGGUAGCAUAAUGUUUGCAUCAAACAGGAAGUACCGGAGGGAAUGGAGUGUCAUUAGUUCUGCUGGUGUUUGGUCAUAAACCAAAACAAUAAACUCAGAUUUUGACUGACUGAUGAUGCUGGAGAAAAGUCAUGUCAUUAUUAUCAUUAUUAUUGCUGCAUAUGAAGCAUUUAGACAAAAUCAAGCUCUCACCUGCUCCUGGAACGGAGUUACAAUUUCUUCUCUGAUUUCCUCAACUUGGAAAAUAUAGGAAAGAAUUAUGACCAGUGUGUUUGUAUUGGGAUUUCUUACAUUUUAUGACCCAUCCCUCACAGCAUAUAAAGUUCUUGAAAAGCCCAAUAAUCCAUGGAGGAAAGAGAUGGAGGCCAUUGAACCUACACAUAUGAACAUUAGGAGAAUAAACUGGUAGAAUGAAGAAUCACUGUUGGCUUGUUAGAGUUCCUGCUCCAUCUGUUAUGGUCCCAGGGUUUUUUAGUUUUUUGGACUUUUUUGGACUUUCUUGAUGAUUUAGUUUUCUGUGUUUUGGGUUUCUAUUCUGGGUUUAGAGUAUUUUUGGUUUGAGUAUUUCUGGUUUGGGUAUUUCUAGUGUCUAGUUUAGUCUUCCCUGUCUUGUGCUCUGUUUCCCCGUGCACUUCCUGUUUUAUUUUGUAAUUUGUUUCCUUGUGUGUCUCAGUGUUUUGCUUCCUGUCUUGGUCUUGUUUCUGUGUGGUGAUUGUCUGCCCCGCCCUAAUGUUUCACCUGUGUUCAAUCACCCUUGUCGGUUCGUCUGUUGAUCUCUGGGUUUGUCAUCAUGGCUUUCUUGGAGGCGCCUCGGUCCUCUCGGCCAGCACCCUCGUCGGUCUGCAGGCCCCUUUGCACGCUGGCUGACCCCCUCUCUGACUCUGACGAGUCCCCUUUCAAGGGAACUCGUCUGGCUAUUUUCAGGGGAUUUCGUGGAGGCCACGGAAGGCGAGGUAAUCAUGGCUCCCGUCGCCAUGGAGAAGCUCGGCCUUGGCCCCAGCCCCAGGUUCCUCGCUUCCAGCCAAAGCCCCAGCUACCCCAAUUCCUGGAUCCCUCCCUGGCUCCUGAAUUGGGUGGGCUGGACAAAGUCAAUCCUGCUCCUCGUGUCCUGUCGGCGGCCCAGCUGACUCCUGCCUCUGGUACCCAGUCGGCUCCUGCUCGCCCUCCAGAGGGGCGACGCCAUCCUCCGGCUCGACCUCCGGAGAGACCCCGUCUUCGCCGCCGGUCUCCAGAACGGCUCCGUCCGUUUGCCCGGCCUCCAGGUCGCCCCACUGAACUGCCCAGCCUGUACAUAAAGCCUCCGAGCCGUCCACCUGAGUUGCCCUGUUUUGUCCCUUGUCCCGCCCUGGGGUCGUCUGGAAGCCGUCCCUUAAGGGGGGGGGGGUACUGUCAUGGUCUCAGCCUGGAGGCUCCAGGGUUUUGGUAGUUCUAAUUAUGCAAAGCUCAUUCAAGCUUUUUGAAAAACAUUGGACUGAAACCUGAAGGAGAACCAAACAGUUGUUUUUUAUGAUUAUAAAGAUCUAAUCUUCAUUCGUGUGUUUUACUCGGAGAUAGUCCAGAACAGAGUCAUGAUUCAUAUUAAUGUCAAAUCAAAGCUUUUCCUGCCAUAACAAGUCAAACUGUUUAUUGUUUGAAAGGAUUUAUUACAGUAACUGGCUCAAGACUGUAUGUAGGGGAAUUCAAUUUCCUAUAAUUACUAUUGGCUGCUGUUCACUUCAAGUGAUGUAGCCUCGCUUUAAGUUGUAAUUUGAGAGUUAUUCGUGGUAACCAUGGUAACCAAUGAGGGCCAGUAAAAGUCCAGUACACCACUGUUCUCGAGUCACUUUGUCCUUUACUGUGUCUCUACUCAUGUCAGCUCCAUCAUCUGGGUUUCUACUCUCUCGGCCAAGAAAGAUGAAACAUUAAUGAACCCUCAGGCACAAACACACCAGCUGUCUCUACCUUGUUCUCCAUCCACUAUUUCUGUCCUGCCUCCCGCAUUGUGAAUUCAUGAACUUCUGCCCUGCCAUUCCCAAUCACCACUCAACGAGCAGCAGUCUGAUUUGUCAAGAUGCUGGUAAGUGGUCUUACGUUUCAUCUCCUCUGACAGCUUGAAGAGCAGAAUCAGCCCCUGGAGGGUUUCGUGAGGCGCAGAGAAGGUCUUUCACUCAGACAGUACGAUCCAGUCACACGGGACCAGGGACCUCUGAGAAGCAUGGCUCUCCUUCCAGAGUCAAGUACAUUGUUCAAGUGUCUGGGAGGUGAGUUGUGGGAUUUUUAAGAACAAACCCAGAGUAAUGUCUGUGAUUGGAAAUGACACUGAGGAAUUUACAGAGAGAAUUACAGCGAAAGAAAUUCAUUUUCUUCAAUCAGCCCAGCUCCUCGCGGUUAAAGAAGGUUUCCCUCCCUCAGCUCGAUUCCAGUUUCCACUUCUUUUGAGAAACACAGGGAAAAACACAUUCACCAGGACAAUGGCUGGUGUUUUACACAUUAAUUCAUUCAACUCUUCAGCACUCACUCUGCCUCUUCUGCUGCUUUGCCACAUCUGUGUGACCAGUCACCAGCUGAGAGCUCUUCACUCCAACAACAACAGCUUCAACCACCAGUCACUCAUUUGUGAAAUCCUGUUUUUAUAUAAACUUUUAUUGCUGCAAACAAAAUGUAUUUUGCUUUAAUGUGUUUGGUCCCAUAGUCCAAAUUACUUUUCAUCACAGUGAACAAAAACAUUUGGUUUUGGUUUAUUCAUAAUCAGCAUGAUGCAACACAGACUUUGAACAUUUGAACUUGAAGUUAAUGUUAAUGUUGAUGUUAAUAAUAAUUAAUUAUGACAAAGAAGACCAGCGGCAGCCUCUGGCCUCCUUAUGGCAUCUCACAUUCAACUGUAUCAGAUUUUUGUUAGAAAGCUGCUAUUUUAUUUUAUGGGACAAAAAACAGAAAACUCAGACAAUUUUUCUGAAUUUUUUGGCAGCUGAAAACAAUCAUGUCUGUCAUUUGUUGUUCCUGAAGACAAGAACAAGUAGCGACAUCUUUAUUCCAUCAGCAUCGGUGUUCACUCGAAACAUGGUCUGAAUUUAAGAGGCACAAAACCGCUGGAAUCAGAUUCAACUAAUUUUUACCGUUUUCUUAUAAAUGUUUAAAUGACUUAAUGAACCAUUAUCAAGGCACUUAUCAGUAGAUUUUCUGAACUUUCUAUUAUAUAGUGGAGACUGAUGAGAACACUGAGACAGACCAUCACAGUCCUGGUAUGAUUAAAUAUCUGUUUUAAAUUUCCAGUUGCAUAUUUGAGGUUUUGUUGGCAUGUGGCUUAUUUAAAAUAUGGCCGAAAUAUACUUUUGACAUUUGA